rnacentral:lncRNA from 1 species
AAAAAACAUAUUCUCCAAGUAUUAUUUUGAUAUGAAAACUAAUAAAGAAGAAAAUUGGAAAUUAUUAAUUUUAUUUCUUGAAACUUCCUGACUUAUGUGACGUAGUUUAAGUCUUUUUGCAUGCCGGGAGUGAAAUUAAUCUCAUUUAAGUCUUGUUCGUUAACCAUCUGAUAACGUGAUUUAAAGCGCAUCGAUGACUUUUGGUGUAGCUAUUAACCAACGAAAAAUAAGUGAAAGCCAUGCAACUUUUAAAAUAAGAUCGUGUGGAUUUUUUUAAACGAAUUUUAAUAAUAAAAGUUAAUCACACAAUAGAACAUUUUUAUGAUUUUUUU